rnacentral:rRNA from 1 species
CGGAAAACUGGGGAUAAUACCCUAUAGGAGAGGGAUGCUGGAAUGCGCGAUAGCUGAAAGUGGAGGCGCCGCAGGAUGGGUCGGCGGCCGAUUAGGUAGUUGUUGGGGUAAUGGCCCAACAAGCCUGUAAUCGGUACGGGUUGUGGGAGCAAGAGCCCGGAGAGGGAUUCUGAGACAUGAAUCCAGGCCCUACGGGGCGCAGCAGGCGCGAAAACUUUACAAUGCGGGAAACCGUGAUAAGGGAACCCCGCGUGCCCGUAGAAUCGGGCUGUUGAUCUGUGUAAACAGCAGGUAAAGAAAGGGCCGGGCAAGACCGGUGCCAGCCGCCGCGGUAACA